rnacentral:rRNA from 1 species
AGGAUGAACGCUGGCGGUCUGCUUAACACAUGCAAGUCGAACGGAGUAGAAAUACUUAGUGGCGGACGGGUGAGUAACGCGUGAGAAUCUACCUUCGGGACGGAGACAACAGUUGGAAACGACUGCUAACCCCCGAUGUACUGAAAAGGCAAAUAUUUAUAGCCUGAAGAAGAGCUCGCGUCCGAUUAGCUAGUUGGAGAGGUAAAAGCUCACCAAGGCGACGAUCGGUAGCUGGUCUGAGAGGACGAUCAGCCACACUGGGACUGAGACACGGCCCAGACUCCUACGGGAGGCAGCAGUGGGGAAUUUGCUCAAUGGGCGCAAGCCUGAAGCAGCAACGCCGCGUGAGGGAUGAAGGCCUUCGGGUUGUAAACCGUCUUUUAUCUAGGGACGAUUAUGACGGUACCUGAUGAAUAAGCCACGGCUAACUACGUGCCAGCAGCCGC